UACGUAGGGGGCAAGCGUUGUCCGGAUUUAUUGGGCGUAAAGAGCGUGUAGGCGGCUUGGUAGGUCCGCUGUGAAAACUCGAGGCUCAACCUCGAGAUGUCGGCGGAAACCACUUGGCUAGAGUCCGGAAGAGGAGAGUGGAAUUCCCGGUGUAGCGGUGAAAUGCGCAGAUAUCGGGAAGAACACCUAUGGCGAAGGCAGCUCUCUGGGCCGGAACUGACGCUGAGGAGCGAAAGCGUGGGUAGCAAACAGG
rnacentral:rRNA from 1 species